CUCUCACCUCCUAACCCAUCUCUCUCUCUCUCUCUCUCUGUGUUAAAUCUUAUAAACCAGAUCAACCCUACCCUACCAUUACAUUUACACACUUCGUCUACUCUCUUUCUUUCUCUAUCUUUCGCUCUCUGUUUUGUGUUUGGAUGAAGGAUUUGCACUUUUGAGUGAGCCAUGGAGAGGAAAGAGGCGAUAAAGAAGGAGGAGACCGUUGGAUCUUCAUCGUUCUCGGAUCAUAUCUCAGACAGCUAUCAAUUUUCCGGCAUAUUCGAUUUCUCUGAAGGUGAUAAGAGCUCGCUAGGGUUUAUGGAGUUACUGGGUGUUCAGGACUACAGUCCUUCUUUGUUUGAUUUGCCACACCCACCAUCCAUGGCUCCGACGUCACCUCCACUUCCGGCUACCGCCGUGAAAGAGUGCUCUGAGGUAUUGAAUCCGCCGGCGACACCUAACUCCUCUAUUUCCUCUGCAUCGAGUGAGGCAGUGAAUGAUCAUGAACAGACCAAAGCUGUAGACGAGGAGGAAGAAGAGCAACAAGAAAAAACCAAAAAACAGUUGAAACCCAAGAAGACAAAUCAGAAGAGACAGAGAGAGCCAAGAUUCGCCUUCAUGACAAAGAGCGAGGUUGAUCAUCUGGAAGAUGGCUACAGGUGGAGAAAGUACGGUCAAAAAGCUGUGAAGAACAGCCCCUUUCCUAGGAGUUACUAUCGUUGCACUACAAGCUCAUGUAAUGUGAAGAAACGAGUGGAGCGAUCUUUCACAGAUCCAAGCAUUGUUGUCACCACCUACGAAGGGCAGCACACGCAUCCGAGUCCAGUCAUGCCUCGGCAGAUGCUUGCCGGAGCUCCGCCGGACUCGAGCUUCUCCGCCGGACGUGCCACCGGCUUUGCUAUGCCAAUGCAAAGAAGCCUAUUAUGCCACUAUCAACAACAACAACAGCGCCAAGUCCAACAAUCCUUUAUCCAUAACUUGUCACCUUCGAAUUUUGCUUGUAGUAAUGGCGGCGGCUUAACGAAUCCAGGCGGCGGUUAUAUUCGUGAGAUUCGGUUCUGCAACACCGGUUCUGGUUUGCUUAGAGAUCAUGGGCUUCUUCAAGACAUUGUUCCAUCGCAUAUGCUGAAGGAAGAGUAGAGUAAUUUCGUUUACUGACUAAUUUGUAGGAGGAAAUCUAGCUAGAAGAAAGACACCCCCAUUACUGGUUUGUGAUGAUCUUCUUACUUACAGGAAUGUGCAUUGAUUUCAUUGAGAGUACCGCAGUCAAGAUUGAGGGUUUGGGCUUCUCCAGAGAGAAUAAUUAAUCUGGAAGCUUUCUAUCUUUUCCUUUGUCUGGGAAUCAUCAAAAAAGGGCUUCAAAUUUUGAGGAUUUGGUGAGAGAAAUUAAUGUGGUGUCCCUAAAUAUAUGCAUGGGGAUACAACAAGAAAGAAUUACCCAACCACUACUUUACCCCUAUUGAGCCUGUUCAGUUAAUGCCUCUCUCUUUCUUCCUCUCGUUUUUUUUUUUUCCCCCUCUCCUAUGCCUUGCCAAUGUGCAAAUCCACUAAUGGAUUUGAUUCAUUGAACAUUUAUGGCAGGCAUG